rnacentral:rRNA from 1 species
AUUGAACGCUGGCGGCAGGCCUAACACAUGCAAGUCGAACGGUAACAGGAAGAAGCUUGCUUCUUUGCUGACGAGUGGCGGACGGGUGAGUAAUGUCUGGGAAACUGCCUGAUGGAGGGGGAUAACUACUGGAAACGGUAGCUAAUACCGCAUAACGUCGCAAGACCAAAGAUGGGGACCUUCGGGCCUCUUGCCAUCGGCUGUGCCCAGAUGGAAUUAGCUAGUAGGUGGGGUAACGGCUCACCUAGGCGACGAUCCCUAGCUGGUCUGAGAGGAUGACCAGCCACACUGGAACUGAGACACGGUCCAGACUCCUACGGGAGGCAGCAGUGGGGAAUAUUGCACAAUGGGCGAAAGCCUGAUGCAGCCAUGCCGCGUGUAUGAAGAAGGCCUUCGGGUUGUAAAGUACUUUCAGCGGGGAGGAAGGGAGUAAAAUUAAUACCUUUGCUCAUUGACGUUACCCGCAGAAGAAGCACCGGCUAACUCCGUG